rnacentral:rRNA from 1 species
CCUACGGGUGGCAGCAGUGAGGAAUAUUGGUCAAUGGGCGCGAGCCUGAACCAGCCAAGCCGCGUGAGGGAUGAAGGUUCUAUGGAUCGUAAACCUCUUUUAUCAGGGAAUAAAGUCUGGGACGUGUCCUCUUUUGUAUGUACCUUAUGAAUAAGCAUCGGCUAACUCCGUGCCAGCAGCCGCGGUAAUACGGAGGAUUCGAGCGUUGUCCGGUUUUAUUGGGUUUAAAGGGUGCGGAGGCGGCCUUUUAAGUCCGCGGUGAAAGUCUGGGGCUCAACCCUAGAAUUGCUGUUGAAACUGGGGGGCUUGAGUUUGUUUGAGGCAGGCGGAAUGCGUGGUGUAGCGGUGAAAUGCUUAGAUAUCACGCAGAACCCCGAUUGCGAAGGCAGCCUGCCGGGCCCUCACUGACGCUGAUGCACGAAAGCGUGGGGAUCAAACAGGAUUAGAUACCCCAGUAGUC